CCUACGGGUGGCAGCAGUGAGGAAUAAUUGUCAAUGGACGCAAGUCUGAACCAGCCAUGCCGCGUGCAGGAAGAAGGCUCUAUGAGUUGUAAACUGCUGUUGUACGAGGGUAAACGCAGAUACGCGUAUCUGUCUGAAAGGAGAGUACGAAUAAGGAUCGGCCAACUCCGUGCCAGCAGCCGCGGUAAUACGGAGGAGUCAAGCGUUAUCCGGAUUCAUUGGGUUUAAAGGGUGCGUAGGCGGUCGGAUAAGUUAGAGGUGAAAUCCCGAGGCUCAACUUCGGAAUUGCGUCUGAUACUGUUCGGCUAGAGAGUAGUUGCGGUAGGCGGAAUGUAUGGUGUAGCGGUGAAAUGCUUAGAGAUCGUACAGAACACCGAUUGCGAAGGCAGCUUCCCAAGCUACUUCUGACGUUGAGGCACGAAGGCGUGGGGAGCAAACGGGAUUAGAUACCCUUGUAGUC
rnacentral:rRNA from 1 species